rnacentral:lncRNA from 1 species
ACGCAGCCUGGGAGUUUUUGUUGGUGUACCUCUGGUCCUCCGGAAUAUAGGUUGCUCUUUGCAAGAAGGAAACGUGGGACAUGAUGUGCAUCCCUGUGCAGGACUGGCAGGUGGGAAAGCAGAGCCCACGUGUUGGCACAACACCUACUGGUCUUAGAGAUUGCUCUCACUGAAGGGUUGAGCCAGGAGGUGGAGGUGCUGAGCCCUCAGCACAGCGUUGGCAAACAGGUUGGAGAGGGGCAUGGCAGGGAAGGUGGCAGCAGCUUCCUGCGGCAGUCCCAGCGUGACCACAGCGAUGAGGAGAGGAGAAAACCACGAGCCUACAGCAGAGCGGAGAGGAGAGGGGUUACCCGUCCUUUGGUGGCACCUGGGGCUCAGGGUUGUGUCCACCUGUGAGUGCAGCCCUCCACACAAGCCCACAUGUUGCUCCAUGUGGGUCCGUCCCUUUAUUUUCCCCUAACGUGCUCAUGUUUUUUGGUAGGUUUCACCUUCCUGAGCAGAGCACGGUACGCUCUUUGGCGCGUGAGCCAACAGGGUGGAGAGCAGUGGGUGAGGACUGGGAACAGCUCAGCUGAGCCUAUUUGCACCGUGCUGCUGGCAUGGCACUGUCUGCCUUCACUGGGGUGAGAAGUGGCUGCAUUACCUGCGCUGUGGCUCUCUGGGACACACCUGUAGGAUCUGGAGGUCACUGUCAAGCCUGAAGGUUAUUAACCCUCGACAUCCAGCUCACAUGAGUGUCC